GAGGCACUAGUAAAACCGACCAUUACACUUCCUUGUCGAGGCAGUAUUGUGGGUUAAACCCCCACGUGCCUUA
rnacentral:tRNA from 1 species